UUAACUCAAAUUUGUAUGGAGUUGGAAUGUAAGCGUAGGCUGUCACGUUUUUUUUACCGGGUUUUGACCCCGGAAGUCGGGUGUAAGAGUACAGGGGAGUCGUUUAGUGGGUGGGCCCUAAAAUUCCUUGGGCCCGAGGGACGCUGUUCCAACUGCAUACAAAUUUGAGUUA
rnacentral:pre_miRNA from 1 species